UACGUAGGGUGCAAGCGUUGUCCGGAAUUAUUGGGCGUAAAGAGCUCGUAGGCGGUUUGUCGCGUCGACUGUGAAAACCCGGGGCUCAACCCCGGGCCUGCAUUCGAUACGGGCAGACUAGAGUUCGGUAGGGGAGUCUGGAAUUCCUGGUGUAGCGGUGAAAUGCGCAGAUAUCAGGAGGAACACCGGUGGCGAAGGCGGGACUCUGGGCCGAUACUGACGCUGAGGAGCGAAAGCGUGGGGAGCAAACAGG
rnacentral:rRNA from 1 species